rnacentral:misc_RNA from 1 species
GAAAUGCGAUAAGUAGUGUGAAUUGCAGAAUUCAGUGAAUCAUCGAAUCUUUGAACGCACAUUGCGCCCCUCGGUAUUCCGUGGGGCAUGCCUGUUCGAGCGUCAUCUACACCCUCAAGCUCUGCUUGGUGUUGGGCGUCUGUCCCGCCUCCUUCGCGCGCGGACUAGCCCCAAAUCCAUUGGCGGCGGCCAUAAGCCCCUCUCUCACGCUCUUGACCUCGGAUCAGGUAGGGAUACCCGCUGAACUUAAGC